rnacentral:rRNA from 1 species
AGAGUUUGAUCCUGGCUCAUAAAGAACGCUGUCGGCGUGCCUAACACAUGCAAGUCGUACGAGAAAAUCCGCUUCGGCGGGUGAGUAGAGUGGCGCACGGGUGAGUAACGCGUGGAUAAUCUGCCUUUAAGCUGGGAAUAACUCACCGAAAGGUGGGCUAAUACCCGAUAAUGCUAUGGGACUUCGGUUUUAUAGCCAAAGAGAGCCUCUACAUGUAAGCCUUCACUUAAAGAUGAGUCCGCGUACCAUUAGCUAGUUGGUAGGGUAAUGGCCUACCAAGGCGACGAUGGUUAGCUGGUCUGAGAGGAUGAUCAGCCACACUGGAACUGAGACACGGUCCAGACUCCUACGGGAGGCAGCAGUGAGGAAUAUUGCGCAAUGGGGGCAACCCUGACGCAGCAACGCCGCGUGAGUGAGGAAGGUCUUCGGAUCGUAAAGCUCUGUCGGGUGGGAAGAAGUGUGCAUAGGUUAAUAGCUUGUGCACUUGACGGUACCGCCAAAGGAAGCACCGGCUAACUCCGUGCCAGCAGCCGCGGUAAUACGGGGGGUGCGAGCGUUGUUCGGAAUCAUUGGGCGUAAAGAGCGUGUAGGCGGCUAGGCAAGUCAGAUGUGAAAUCCCUGGGCUUAACCCAGGAAGUGCAUUUGAAACUGCUUAGCUUGAGUAAGGAAGAGGGAAGUGGAAUUCCUGGUGUAGAGGUGAAAUUCGUAGAUAUCAGGAGGAACACCGGUGGCGAAGGCGACUUCCUGGUCCUAUACUGACGCUGAGACGCGAGAGCGUGGGGAGCAAACAGGAUUAGAUACCCUGGUAGUCCACGCCGUAAACGA